CUAUAAGUAACCUAUACGGCACUACACUGCACAUGAGUCGGAACCACUGAAAGGGUCUGUACGACAAGACUGGUGUAAUAUAGUUAUGCUCAAUGCUACGCACUCAUGAUAGCUAUGCGAUAAAUUGCUAGUCACCUACGAGUCGAAACCACCUAUAAUGGUCUAUACGACAAGACUGUGCACCUAAAUUGGAUCCAAUGUGAGCAUAGGGUGUGGGAGGUCACAUUAUAAACAAGCAUGUACCAUAUCUCUGGCUAAAUCACAAUCACCCGGGGUGCAGGUUUAUGAGCUUUCAAUCACAUCUCAUAUUAUAAAUAUCUCAUAUAAUAAAUCAUAACUCACCUGGUACUUACUUGAGCGUCCACAACACCAAUUCAUAUUAUAUAUCAUAUACUAAUUCAUAUGCUGAAUAUAAAUUUAUAUGCAUGGCAUUUCAAAGCAUACUUUCAUUUAAACGCAUUUUCUGGGAAAAUAUCAAGUAUAUAAGUAUAUACUGAAACCAAAAGCCCACUAACUGGUAUGUCGAAAUGUCGUAGCCCCCGAGCCGUCCUUGACUGCGCUUGUCCUUGGGAUAAGUCUCCCCUAUAUGCGAAACAACUAUAAAAACGUUAGUUUAAAGCACAUAACCAAUACUAGCUAAUAACUUCUCAUACAUUGCUCAAUUGAGGUAUAUAAAUAUACCAUCGUGACCUACACAACUCCAUGAACACGCCUAAAUUUUUAAAAUAAAUUUUGGAGCCCUCACGCGCCGUCACACGCCGACAAGGGCAUGGCGGUAACUCAAGUCUAUAAGCAACCUCGUCGACUCGCUCGGUGAUCAUAUACGGUCCAAUGUACCUAGGACUCAGCUUGCCUUUCUUUCCAAACCGUACAACACAUUUCCAUGGUGAUAGUUUCAUAAAUACCCAAUCACAAAUCCAGUCAUUGGCAUGCUUGUCUGCUAAGCUCUUUUGUUGAUCCUGGGCCACUUUCAGGUUAGACUUAAUUACCUAAAUAUUUUGAGUAGUUUCAUCCACAAUCUCCCGGCCCACCAAAACUCUUUCACCCACUUCUGACCAGCAUAAUGGCGUUUGACAAAACUUGCCAUAGAAUGCCUCAAAAGGUGCCAUACCAAUACUCAAAUGGCAACUGUUGUUGUAGGCGAACUCCAUCAAAUCUAAACAAUCAUGCCAACCAUCGCCAAACUGCAGCACUGAAGAUCUCAGCAUAUCCUCUAAUGUCUGAAUAGUUCUCUCAGAUUGUCCGUCUGUUUAAGGAUGAUAUGUCGUACUAUAAAGUAAUCUCGUACCAAGAGCUUCCUAGAAUGCUAUCCAGAACUUGGAAGUGAAUCUAGGGUCCCGAUCCAAGAUAAUAUCAACUGGAACACCAUGGUACUUCACAAUCUUCAAUAUGAAUAACUUAGCUAAUAUGCUUAAUGAGUAUUUCCCUCACUAGACUAAAGUGUGCUGACUUAGUGAGUCGAUCAACUAUCACCCAAAUGCCGUCAUAACCAUUCUGUGUAUGAGGAAGCUUGUACACGCAAUCCAUAGUAAUAUUUUCCCAUUUCCACUGUGGAACGGGAAGUGGUUGCAUCAACCCGAACGGCUUCUUCCUUUCAGCUUUAACCUGUUGGCAAAUGACACACCUACUCACGUACUCAGCAAUUUCUCUUUUCAUACCCGGUCAAUAAUAAAAUGGUCGAAUGGUAUGAUACAUCUUGGUACCUCCUGGAUGCAUUGCAUAUGCCGAAAUAUGCACUUCAUCGAGGAUUUCUUUCUUUAACUCUGCAUUAUUGGCACAUACAUUCUGUUCUCUUGCAUAAGCAUGUCAUCAGUUUCUCGAAUUCUGAAAUCUUUCUUCUUGCCUCAAUUUCUUGCUUGAAUUAUUUCCCGGGUCUCUUCAUCAAUCAUCUGAGCUUCAAGCAAGCGAUCAAUUAAAAUUGGCCUAACUUGAAAAUUUGCAAGUAAGGCUUCCUCUCGAUCUUCCACUUCUAACUCUAGUCCAGUAGACCUCAAUUCUGCAAGGAGAGGAACAUGACAAUCAUAGAUGGCAUUAAGUCUAGCUGGAGUCUUCCUACCAAGUGCAUCUGCCACUGUAUUUGCACGACCAGGGUUAUAUUCAAUCGUGCAAUCAUAAUCGCUAAGUAACUCAAUCCACAUCCACUGCCUAAGAUUUAGAUCCCUCUGAGUAAAAAGAUACUGAAGACUCUUAUGAUCUGUAAAGAUCUUACAUUUCUCACCAUAAAGAUAAUGUCUCCAAAUCUUCAGAGCAAAGAUGAUAGCCGCUAACUCCAGAUCAUAAGUAGGGUAAUUCUUCUCAUGAGGUUUCAACUGUCUUAAAGCAUAAGCAAUCACCCUACCAUAUUGCAUCAAUACACAACCCAGACCAUUCAAAGAAGCAUCACUGUAGACCUCAAAAUUACCACUAUCAUUGGGGAGUGCCAAAAUAGGUGCAUGAGUGAGAUAAUACUUUAACUGCUGGAAACUUUGCUCACAAUUAUCAUCUCACUCAAACUUAACUUCUUUUCUAGUCAACCUCGUCAAUGGAAAGCAAUAACUGAAAAAUCCUUAACAAACUGUCUAUAAUAGCCUGCUAGGCCAAGAAAACUUCGUACCUCAGUGACGGUUCGAGGUUGCUCCCAAUUCUCCACAACUGCCACUUUUUAAGAAUCCACUCGAAUGCCUUAAGCUGAUAUAACAUGUCCCAAAAAUGCCACUUGAUCUAACUAGAAUUGGCAUUUGCUAAACUUAGCAUAUAGUUGGUGAUCCCUCAAACUUUUCAACACCAAUUUAAGAUGUCUAGCAUGCUCUGCUCUAGACUUAGAGUAUACUAGAAUGUCAUCAAUGAAGACAAUGACAAACUUGUCCAAAUAUGGCUGGAAUACUUGAUUCAUUAAAUCCAUGAAAGUUGCUGGUGCAUUAGUUAACCCGAAUGGCAUCACAAGAAACUCAUAACGACCAUAUCGAGUCCUGAAUGCUAUUUUCGGGACAUCUUCACUUUUAAUCUUCAACUGGUAGUAACCAGACCUUAAGUCAAUCUUAGAGAAUACACGCGCACCUCGAAGUUGAUCAAACAAAUCAUUUAUACGUGGCAAUGGAUAACGGUUCUUAAUUGUUACCCGAUUCAAUUACCUGUAAUCAAUACAUAGCCUCAACGUUCCGUUUUUCUUCCUCACAAAUAAAACUAGAGCUCCCCAAGGUGAAAUACUAGGUUGAAUAAAUCCCUUAUCAACCAAUUCCUAGAACUGAACUUUCAAUUCCCUUAAUUCAGCAGGAGACAUUCUAUAAGGAGUCAAAGAUAUAGGAUCCGUACCUGGAAGCAGAUCAAUAGUGAACUCCACAUCUCUAUCUGGCAGCAAUCCAUGCAAAUCAUCAGGGAACACAUCCGGAAAAUGCCUGACCACACAUACAUCUUCCACACUACUAGGAGCAUUAUCAUUCAACACCACAUGAGCCAAAUAUCCCUGACAACGUUUCGACAACAAUCUUUUGGCUUUCCUGGCAAAAAUAACACCAUGCCUCACCCCGCUAGGCUCUCCUAUAAAUGUAACUUUAGGUAAUCUAGGACAAUGAAAGUAACUGUCUUUCCAUAGCAAUCUAUCUUGGCACAAUUGUAGUGUAACCAAUCAGUGCCCAAAAUCACAUCAAAAUCAACAAUGUCUAACAGAAUAAGGUUAGCCGGCAGGACGAUAUCCUCCACAUCACCGGACAUCCUGGAGAUACCCGAUCAACAUAACAUCUCUCCCCUCUAGGCAUAGAAAACUCUAAAUCAUAUCCUAAAGGUGUAGGAUGAGGUUGCGUCACUUGAGCAAAUGUAUGAGAAACAACAAAAUGCGUAGCACCACAAUCAAUCAAUACUUUAGCAAAAUGACCAAGAAUAUUUAAUGUACCCAUGAUUAAAUCAGGAUUGUUCUAAGCAUCUUGCAGUGUUAUGUUAUGGAUACGUCUCUGAUUCUACUAUCGUCCACCACGACUUCUGUUAACAUGAAUACCACGUCUUUGUCUUGGCUCACCAGACUACCUCGAAGAUCCUGCACUGCUAGCAGCAAUCUCUACCUAUUGUGGAUGUCCCCCCUGGUACCACUGGGAUCCACCUGUUGAAUGUGGCUGAUAUGGCAUAGAACAUCCCUGAUAUUGAGGGUAACCAUCCUGAUAAUAAGGAUCUUGCGAGUACUGAUAAUGUCCUGUAGUAUAAGGAGUAGCGUCGCCCUGAUAAUGAUAAGCACCACCACGACCAGUCUGGGUAUAACCACUAGGUCCUGAAACAUGAUAGGUUGGCGCAGGUGGUGGUAAGGAAGACUGUUGGGGCCUCUGCUGAUUCUGAGGGCAAUGUGCAACCUUAUGCCCCAUCUGUUCACAAGUAUAGCAUGCACUGCUGCCUCUCAUACACUCUCCAAAAUGCCUAUUAUUACACCUGCGGCAUAAAUGAGCACUUGAACCACCAAAAUCCCUCUGCCUUUGAAAUCUCGGGCCUCUAGAAAAUCUACCACCUCUUCUCUGCACAUUAAAGCUCAAACCUCCACUAGAAAAGCUGGAACUGACACCAUUUCUCUUAAAACUCUGAGUCUUACGAGGUCCCUGAGAUGAUUGACUUUUACCUUUAUCAUUUCGCCUCUGGUUCCCGUUCUUUUCUUCUUCAUCUUCACUUUCAUUAGGCAUGUUCUCUGAGUCCUCAAUCCACAGUAAAACCUCAUAAAACUCCUGGUAAGUGGCACAGGGAGUCAACAAUCCACAGUAAAACCUCAUAAAACUCCUGGUAAGUGGCACAGGGAGUCAAUGUCGCUAUAGAACGCCAUUUCUUCUUAGUACCUAACCUGAAACGACAGAGCAUCUCGACCGGAUUAGCAACAACCUCCGGAUCAUAUCGAGACAAAUCAGUGAAUCUCCUAUAAUAUUCAUUCACUGUCAUCUUUCCUUGUUUCAGAUGCAUAAAUUCUUGUUUCUUGUGAUCAAUAUACUCAGGGGGAAUGAAUCUUUUUCGAAACAACUGUUUAAACACUUCCCAAUCGGAUGCUACCUCUAGUGGCAUCUGAUAGGACUCUUGUCUCCACCAGGAUGCAGGCUCCGGACUUAGAAACCAGGUAGUCAUCUCGACCCACCUAUUAGGAAAAAGAUUCAUCUGACUCUUCAUCAUAAGGAAAAUCUUCUCGACAUGAUUAAGACACUUCUCCGCUCUUUCAUGUCCUUCAUUACCCAUGAAAUGAUUCAGCUUCAAAUUAUACACAGUCUCAAAAGGUGUCAUUUGAGGAGGACGGAGCGAAGACUGAAUGGCAUUAGCUAUAGCUUCCCCUAACUAAGCAAUAUCGGGGAAACUAGGCUCAGCUGAGUGACGUGGCUCUCUACGAGGCUGCAUAGUUCUGAUAGAAGACAUCACAAUGAUUAGAUUAUUCACAAGAUAUACAGGACUGCUAAACCUAGGGGCUGAUACCAAACUGACACACCCGACUUAAAAUCAAGGUGUGCUGGUCGUCACGUGAGGGUGACGUAGCCAUGUGCACAGUGCGGAAGCAAUAAGGAUAUGAAAUAUACGAAUAAAUAAGAACCGAAAGCUAAUUAAUGUACACUAAUAAGCAGAAACUGCUAGGAAUGAGAUACAAGUGUAAAUACACCUAAUCAGAGCAUAGAAGUUAAUGUGCAGUCCAGUAGGAAGAAGUACUACGAAUAUUAUACUUUGUCAGAACCGCCAAGAUCCACAAAUGCCACCAAUAGCAAGUCUACCUAAAACCUGGAGGGGUGCAAAACAAAAAGUGUGAGUGGGCAAAAACAAAGCUUUUCAAAAUCAUUUCAUUUAUCAAAUGCUCUAACCCCUCGCCGUAAAACAUACAUAAUUUUCCUAGAAAUGGAAUAUAACUAUAUAUAUAUAUAUCAAAUCAUGCUUCACAUAUCCAUAGUCAUAAGUAUGCCAUGCCAAAAAUAUAAAAUAGAAUAAGUAACUCAGGUGAAAAUAAAUUCAUGGAAGAUAACAUAUUAGCCAGAACCCCUGCAGAAGUCUGUACGAUUGAAUUCAUAGCUCAUUAAUCAAUCUAGCCGGAGUCACUACAAGUGACCUAUAUGGCACUACACUGCACACGAGUCGGAACCACUUAAAGGGUCUGUACAACAAGACUGGGUGUAAUAUAGUUAUGCUCAAUGCUACGCACUCAUGCUACACACUCAUGGUCUGUACAACAAGAUUGUGCACCUAAAUUGGAUCCAAUGUGAGCAUAGGGUGCGAGAGGUAACAUUACAAACAGGCAUGUACCAUAUCUCUAGCUAAAUCACAAUCACCCGGGGUGCAGGUUUAUGAGAUUUCAAUCACAUCUCAUAUUAUAAAUAUCUCAUAUAAUAAAUCAUAACUCACAUGGUACUUACCUGAGUGUCCACGGCACCAAUUCAUAUUAUACAUCAUAUACUAAUUCAUAUGCUAAAUAUAAAUUGCUCAAUUGAGGUAUAUAAAUAUACCAUCGUGACCUACACAACUCCAUGAACACGCCUAAAAUUUUAAAAUAAUUUUUGGAGUCGUCACGUGCCAACAAGGGCACGGCCCUACGCGCGGCCACGCGCAGGGAACCCUAACGGAAUCCCCUAAACCCGUUAGGAAUAUUCUGUUAAAAGUAACAGAAACCAUUAAUUCUACCUGACAGCGUCAGAAUAUUCCGUCAAACUUUGACGGAAUAUUCUCUGUCUUCUACCUUCGAACUCCAGCAACCGUCGCCGUCGUUGGAAACUGGAAAAUCUAAAAAUCCUUGUCUCUCAGUCAUUUCUUACCCAAAACUCAUGAAAUUGGUCUCAAUUUAAAGCUUAUAACUAGAAGAACACAUCCUUACAAAUUUCAAGGCUUGAA
rnacentral:lncRNA from 1 species